rnacentral:rRNA from 1 species
AACGAACGCUGGCGGCAGGCUUAACACAUGCAAGUCGAGCGCCCCGCACGGGGAGCGGCAGCCGGGUGAGUAACGCGUGGGAAUCUACCCAUCUCUACGGAAUAACGCAUGGAAACGUGUGCUAAUACCGUAUACGUCCUUCGGGAGAAAGAUUUAUCGGAGAUGGAUGAGCCCGCGUUGGAUUAGCUAGUUGGUGGGGUAAAGGCCUACCAAGGCGACGAUCCAUAGCUGGUCUGAGAGGAUGAUCAGCCACACUGGGACUGAGACACGGCCCAGACUCCUACGGGAGGCAGCAGUGGGGAAUAUUGGACAAUGGGCGCAAGCCUGAUCCAGCCAUGCCGCGUGAGUGAUGAAGGCCCUAGGGUUGUAAAGCUCUUUCACCGGUGAAGAUAAUGACGGUAACCGGAGAAGAAGCCCCGGCUAACUUCGUGCCAGCCGCCGCGGUAACAC